AUUGAACGCUGGCGGCAGGCCUAACACAUGCAAGUCGAGCGGAUGAAGGGAGCUUGCUCCUGGAUUCAGCGGCGGACGGGUGAGUAAUGCCUAGGAAUCUGCCUGGUAGUGGGGGAUAACGUCCGGAAACGGGCGCUAAUACCGCAUACGUCCUGAGGGAGAAAGUGGGGGAUCUUCGGACCUCACGCUAUCAGAUGAGCCUAGGUCGGAUUAGCUAGUUGGUGGGGUAAAGGCCUACCAAGGCGACGAUCCGUAACUGGUCUGAGAGGAUGAUCAGUCACACGGGAACGGAGACACGGACAAGACUGAUGGGGGAGGGGGGAGGGGGGAAUAUUGGACAGUGGGCGAAAGGCUGUACCAGUCGGGGCGGGGGUGGGAAGGAGGUCUUAGGAUUGUAAAGUCAUUUAAGUUGGGAGUAGGGGCAGUAAGUUAAUCCCUUGUUGUUUCGACGUUACCAACAGAAUAAGCACCGGCUAACUUCGCGCCGGCGGCCGCGGGGACGAGCACACGUCUGAAC
rnacentral:rRNA from 1 species